CAAUCCAUCGCUCCGGCAGGCUGGCUUCACGAUCGAAACCACGUACCCGCGAGAGGUGACAAUUCGCCAGAGAAAAACAGCGCAGCAGGUUGAAAGUUCUGCUGGAAGGUGAGCCAAAAAUGGUGGAACAGGCCAAUACCUACAAGAAACCUGUAAAUGGAGCAGAGCAAGUUACGCUUUUGCUUCAACAGAACGGAGCAAGUUACAAUUCUGAACAUUCAGAGAGGAGAGAAAAUUCUGUUGAUAAAGAUAAACCAGAGGUGGCGAAGAAGGGGAAAAUUUAUAAAGUUCUCUUAGCUGUCUCCGUUUUCAUUAUUAUCAUCGGCCUUUCAGUUGCUGUUGGUGAGUUCUGUUCCCUUGUUCUGUUUCCUUGACUGCCACCUUAUGGACAUUGUUUGCUUCUGUGCCUUAACAGGCAGAACAGUGGGAUCUUGGCAAACACGCAUUUGUAUGCCUUUUUGCCAAGGUAACACAAAUGUGGAGGAAACAGGUGGCAUUCUCAGGGAGAUGGGGCUUCUCUCCCACGUAAUCAAUUUCCCCCUGAAAUGGUUGCCCAUGAAUUGGUAUUUUGCAGUGUGCAGAGGACCGCAGGCUUAGCUUCCAUAAGACCAGCAGGAGACGGCUCUGGCAAUGACUAUAAUGUAUCACGGUUUUAAGACUACAAUGCCCACUUGACUGAUCAAUGGAAAGCCUUUUUAAUCAACUAAAAUUUCUCCUGUGUUUAAUCAGGGCAGCAGCCCAACCCCCGAUUUAAUAUGGGCGUCAGGCACCAUUUUAGAAGAGGCUUUCUGUUUUGGGCAGACAAAAGACAUUCCUCUUAUAUUGCCUUAUAUUGUUUGGGUUUUCCAGGCCACAGCUGAACUUCUGGGGAUGAGGGCCGCUGAUGGGCAGGGCCAGGGCGAAAAAGGGGCAACACAACAGGUGUGGUUCUUAGUUUUGUACAGUAGACCACACACCAGCUAGAGCAGCAACAGGCUAACAGGCUAACAUCAGAGCCUUUAGGGAAAUUGUCAGGUAUAAGUGUCACUCAAUUUAAUAGAUAUUGCUUGAAAAUUAGACUGCAGUCCUGUACCACAGGGAGGCAGAACCCUUUUUGAGCAUCAUAUGAAACCUUCCAGUAUGUGUGGAACAAAGUAUGUAUCUACUAGUUCACUUUGCAUUUAGUUCAAAGUUUAAUUCAAUUUCUUCUGAAUGACCAUUGGCAAAAAAUUUUUUAUAAAAAGAUCAGCAUCCAGAACGUUAUAAACUGCUGUGUUGAUAUAUAAAUUAUACUUAAGAAGACUAAGGAAACAUCAAGGCACACAGAUAGUAGAAUGUUUAGUUUAUUUCCCCCAGCAAUUAUUAUAUUUUAGCUUCAAGGCCCAAAGAGUUUUGGAGAGUUAAGAACAAAUAUAAGAGAAUGAACUUGAAGAUAGAUUAGAAAUUGUGUGCUUCAGAGAUUAUUAUUAUUUUAACAAAUUCAGUGGAUUUUGCAUUUUUUUUACUUUCUCUUCUGCUCUAUUUUCUAAAGCAAAAAAGGGAUUCCUUUACUACUUGUGUGGAAAAGUACAAAGCUAUAUUCUAGUCAAGCAAAAGACAGAGGCU